rnacentral:rRNA from 1 species
UAUGGCCACACCACUUGGAAUGCACUCAAUCUCUUCGGAUCUCGGAAGCUAAGCAGGGCUGGGUCUAGUCAGCACAUGUUCUUCUGGAAUGCCGUUUGAU